UCCCCCGUGGUGUAACUGGCAGCACACUGGCUUUUGGUGCCAGCAGGUCAGGGUUCGAAUCCUUGCGGGGGAG
rnacentral:tRNA from 1 species